GGGCAGUUGUGCAGUGUGUUGUAGCCUAUGGACCAUUUGGCACUGAAACAACCCCUUGUAUCACCAUGGAUUCUCUUUACAUUUCUCUGAAGCAUUCCUCUUACAUCUCGCCAUGGCCUCAUCAUCUGAUUACUAGCUAAUGAGUAGACUCAUGAAGGGUUUAUUGCUGUGUUAAGGUAAGGUAAGGUUAAGGCAAGGUAAGGAAAAGUAUUACCUAUGUUCUAAGGUAUUUAUGUGGUUAAAAUGUUACUCUGUAUCAGAUUGACAAGUUUUUAAUGAUGAUUGUGUU